UACGUAGGGUGCAAGCGUUAAUCGGAAUUACUGGGCGUAAAGCGUGCGCAGGCGGUUUUGUAAGUCUGUCGUGAAAGCCCCGGGCUUAACCCGGGAAUGGCAUUGGAAACUGCUGAUCUGGAGGAUCGGAGGGGGGACUGGAAUUCUUGGUGUAGCAGUGAAAUGCGUAGAUAUCAAGAGGAACACCAGUGGCGAAGGCGAGUCCCUGGACGAUACCUGACACUGAGGCACGAAAGCCAAGGGAGCAAACAGG
rnacentral:rRNA from 1 species